rnacentral:tRNA from 1 species
AGGGAUGUGGCUCAGUGGUAGGGCACUUGCACGGCAUGCAUGAGGGCCUGGGUUCAAUCCCUAGCACUGCAA